ensembl:lncRNA
CUCCGGCCCCCAGCGCUACCCCCCCGGCGAUUCUUCUCCCAAGGUCCGAGACCCCCAUGAAGAGACGGGUGCGAGGGGCAGAGGGGCCACGGGAGGGGCUUCCAACGGGAUCAGCCCGGUCCCGGGCACGUCCCGGCCUUAGUGUGGCCCCAGGAGGGCCACAGGCUGUCGCCCCCCCCCGGGCCACCCACUCGCGGCUGUCCCAGCGCGGCCGAGCCCCGGGCCCGCUUCGCGUUUGCUUCCCCGAAGACCGGGACACCCCGACGGCACGGAGCAGCCCCGGCCCAUCUCCACAGAGUCACCACGAGCCGCCGUCUCCCCACGUCGAGGAACAGAGUUUAAAGGGAGAACUGCGGCGCUGGGGAAUGCUUUUGACCGCCGACCGGGGGGGUCAGCCCUGGGCCGGCUUUGGGGUCAGGGAAACCCGAGGAAAGCGGCCUCUUUGGGAGACGCGAUCCCCGCUUUCCCCUUUUGCUGUCGUCUUUCUGUCCCUCCCGUGGAAGCGGGGACACUCCCGCACCCCGCGGAUGGCAACGGAGGGAAACGAUCCUCUCCGAACUCCGCCGCCCCGUUAGUCUGCUUUCGGCCGCGACUUUCGCCGAGAAACCCAAAAGCGCUGAGAGCAGCACACCGUCAGUCGAGCAAAAACUUCAGCGUUUCGGAGGAGCUCUCAAAAUACAGCCCUACCUCCGCCCGCCGCCGAAACCGGACCCGUUAGAAGAGGUAAACCAUUUAGCCGGGAAGAAAAUACCAAACAAAAGCAAGCAAACAAACACACAAACCACAACAAAAAUGAAAAUGAAUCACACUCUCUCUCUAUAUAUAUAUCUCGGUAGCCUGAAGCACCUCCGAACGGGACAGUGUGGGACGGAAUGCUCCGCUGGGGCCGAGAGGGGAAACUAUGGGGAUAACGCUGCUGAGUGCGGAGUCGGGGAGCGCAGGAGAGCGAUGCGGGAGCGCGGUGUGUUUCUGACAGAGUGCGGUGGUUUAUGGGGCUGGGAUCGUAGUGCGGAAAGAGGGAAAAAGGCAAGAAAAGAAGCAAGAAAAAAAAAAAAAAGAACCCAAGAAAAACAGAAGGAAAGAUGUAAGCUAAAAAGGACACCUUUAUUGCUGGCCCGGCUUGAGAUACGCAGCUCCGGGAGCGCCGCUGAAGCGCGCGGUGGCUGCGGGGUCCUUCGGGGAGGGGGUGCCCGUUUGAAACUCAACGCGGGACACGAAAAUAAAGGAGUGACGAUAACGAAAACGGUUCCUGAUCGAACUGUUCCGAUCCCGUUUUCAAACAGGCUGCGGUGUUUCAAAACGGGUCGGGAGCACACGAUAGUUCUGAAGGUGAAAGCUGUCCUUGGGAACAGGAGAGGGAAAGUAUCAGUCACACAGAGGAAGCUUCAGGGUUGAAGAAUUAGGAAAAACCUUGUAUGAAAAGCACACACAAAGAGGAGUGUUUUUGCUCUGUUUGUCUGCAGACCUUUGAACAUGAUGAAAGUCAGUCAGGACAUAUUUUGAGAAGAUCACUUAUUCUUCUUUCUGUUGAAGUUCUCUGCUGGAUGGGAACAUAUCACCGAAAGCCAAGGACAUCGGAGUUCACAGAAUCAGAGAAUCACUGAAUAUCCUGAGACGGAAUGGACCCAAAAGGAUCAUCAAGUACAACUCCUGGCUCCACACAGGACCAAACAGAAUUCAAGCUGUGUUUCUAAGAAUGCUUUCCAAGUGUUUCUUGAAUUCCAGCAAGUAUGGUACCAUGGCCAAUGCCCUGGGAAGACUUUUCCAGGUAACACCUACCAAUCUGUUCCCAUCCUGUGUUUAUGCUCCCCCCUACAAAAUGCUCACCCUUAUUCUUACUGAAUUAAAUAUUUUUACAUGUUAUUUUUCAGUUUUAUAGCCAUCAUGAAGAAUUUAAUAUUAUUCUUUCACUAUUCUGUGGUCAGCUCAAACCAUAGUAACCUGCAUAUGUGACUGCAAAUGUGUAAGCAUGUUGCUUAUUUUAAUAUCCAGUAAUGGAAAUACUGACUAGUACCUGUCUGUGGACAGAUUGCUAUAGUGCCAUGCUUGGGACAGCCUCCCAUGUCUUUAGUGAUCACUUGCCCAAGUACACCACUCCAAACACCUUUUCAUGCACUCCAUAAGAGGUCCUACUAUGUUUUUUAUUUCCCACUCUUUCAGUACAGCAACUAUAUUUCCCAAAUGUCCUCUUUCAAUGGCUUUCCCGUUCCAUUCUGUGGUCUUCUUUUUGAUACCCAUGUGCUCUACUCACACCCGCACUGCCACAUUUAGAGUUGGAAGGGAUAUUUCCCUUUCAGAGACCAAACUGGCUGCAACCAUCACAACUCUGUUCUCAACAGCAUGAAGUAUGGCUCUUUUUGUACAAUGUUCUGGGAGUUGUGAGAAAAAUUCUGCUAUUGAGCCAUCCAAGUAGCACACAUCCUUUAAAACAAUGUCUACAAAGGUGCCAGGAUAUUUUCCAAAACUGUUUAUGAAGAUUUGAGGCCAUAUACCAUGUAUAAAUUCACUAAAAUCAAGAUAACUUAAUGAUUGCAUUAACUAAUGAUAUGAUAUGAUCUGUCUCUCAGAAACCACCCCAUUUUAGUACACCACCACCACAAGUAUGAACACCUUAUACUUGAACAUGACUACCAGUACUUCAACUAUUAACAACAGCUCAAAAAUACCCAAAUAUUUUGCUGCCUUCAUUUUGAGAAAAGGCUUUGGUGGGCUGCAAUUACAUUUCACCUACUCUGACUGCUUCUUCCAGGGCCUCACUCCUCACCACCCUCCAGUAGGGCUCUUGGCUGUUUUUUAAUGGAAUAGCCUGAACAAACAUACUGCUCUCAGUGUGACGAUGUGCUGCUGGUUACUAAGCAGCAUUUGCAAAGAGUGUUUACUGCUCAGACCCCCUCCCCCUUUUAUCACUUAGAUGUUAUCUGCACAACAGGCACAAUUGUAAGUAGAUGCUGACACUAUAAACAAGCACGCUUCAGAUUUAUGCUUCCACAUUAUACUUUUAACAUGCUACUUAUUUUGAGGGAACUAAAUAAAAUUAUGACGAUGAUUCUAGCUAAAAAUGCAUGGUGCACACUAUCCAAGAAAUCUAACAAAAACAUUAAAUAUGUCCCAGGAAAUCAAAUUUAUAGCACAGGAAAUGUUUAGUGACUUCAUUACUCAGAUUACCAGUUGGAUAUCAGUUACAUCAUCAGCAACCUCCAAUUUCCUGUUUUGCUUAUCAUAGAGUUACUGUUUUCUUUUUUUAAUGUUUGCACAGCCCGUGUGGCAACAGCUACAGUGAGAUCAGAUACAGGAAUUUUCUGUGAUGGAUUAAAGAUCAUGUUUAUUUUAUCAUUUUUGAAGAAAUAAUAAUAAUAAUGUUGGGAACUGAAUGUGUACAAAACAUAAAUAGGCUUCUAUUUUUUUUUUCCACUGGAAAAGAUAUGAUUUGUGGCAAUAUGUGCAUUAAUUCUUCGUAAAUAUUAUUGAUUUGUGUCCCGCUUCAGAAUUGUUCCUUCCUACUGACUAAGAAAUGAUACCAGACUUCUGGCAGUUGACAGUAACAUUAUAUACUUCUGGUCCUUACAGAAACUUGCGUUUCUUUGCUCUCUUUAUGUCUAUGAAUCAGCCACUCCUUGUGCUUGUAACUCUCCUAUUAAUCUUACAAGUUGCCUGGUCUUGUAAAAGCCUGACCCACAGUUUCAGACAAGUAUGAAUCUCUGUCAUGGCAAUACCAACUUCAUUCAAGGAAAAGUGUAUUUCUUUGUCAUUCCCAAUCAUUCUGUGAAACUCUAGAUUUUUCUUCUAACGCAGAGCUUCACACAUAAUUGACUGAUCUCCAGACUCCUCCCAAGCUCUAGCAUCUUUUUGGCCUCUCUGAAGGCCUGUGAGGUUCCUAAGUGAAAGCCUUGAGAUAUGGACCUGGAGAUCACCUGGCCAAAAUCACACAGAAAAUGGACUUGAUCUGGGGCUGGUAGAUAACUCAUAGCAUUAGGUUGGGCCUGUUUCUUUUCUAAAUUUUAACUUACUUUGGAGAAGCUCUCUUCCAAGUGACUAAAAUCACACUUACGAGGCCUCUGUAGCGAAGGAAAAAGAAAGGCAAAAUUUGUGAUCCAUAUACGGGUUAGUGGGUGAUAACAGUGUGGAGUUAUAAAAUAAUGCAUAUUCACCAAAGGUAUAUAUUCACCAACUGUGUGCCAGGGGGUUAAACACAUCUUCAGUUGUUAUUAUGGAUUAAAAAGUAGGUAAAAUAAAAUUUCUUGAUAACAUAGAAUAAAUGGAUUAAUGAAGAAAUAUACUUUAAUGAAUGGUAUUAGACUAUUUGUGAAAACAAACAAAAAAACAAUGCCACACAAAUCUUUAAGUCAGUUUCAUCAAUUGAUUGUCAAGUCUUUUUCAUACUGUCUUUUGCCUUUGGAAAAACACAGUGAGAUAGACUGAGAUGUAACAACAGUAUUAAUGCACAAAAUAAAAGCAUCCUUGUGACAAUAUUAAGAAGUUAAAAAAAAAAAAAGCAGUAGAUUUACAAAUGCAAAAGCUUAUAGAAAAUUUCUCUUGUCCUCUAGCGAGCACCAGAACCUCCUGAUUGGAAAGUAACCAAUAGCCAAGAGACAUUCAAACUGAAAUAAUUAUUACUUGUGCAAGUAAUUAUUUCCAAACUGGCAAAAUUUGACUUCUUCUCUGCUUUAGCAGCUACCAUACAGUUUUUGAGGCUGUCUUCUACUUGUUCUCUUUGAAGAAAAAUGCAGUGGUAUUCAGAAUGUUUUCCUCUCUGAUCUAGCUGAAAUCGCACUCACAAGCCCUUGCUUACACGUAGAAUUUCCACAUUAAUUGGUUCUGGAAACCAGGCUGCCCUCUUGGAAUCUUAAACUUAGCAACUUUGAGCAAAAGUCUGAUUAAUAUCAGCAAAAAUCCUUCUCUUGCACCUCCUUUGUUUUCACAAAACAUAGACUUUCUGGUGGGCAUUUUUUAGGUAAGUGUGCUGCUUGAAUUAAUAGGUAAAAAUAGAGUUGUUGAAUCAUAGAAUUGUAGAAGCAUAGUACCACAGAAUCACAGAAUGGCUUGGAUUGGAGCCUUAAAGUCCACACCGCCCCAACCCCUGCCAUAGGCAGGGCUGCCCCCCACCAGCUCAGGCUGCCCAGGGCCCCAUCCAACCUGGCCUUGAGUGCCUCUAGGGAUGGUGCACCACAGCUUCUAGCUGCACUUUUGCCUAGUGUUCCAAAAAUGCUUUCACUGCCAUUGACAAAUAAUACGUUGCAUGAAAGAGGGAAGAGAAAUCACAUGCAUACUUUUAUGUCCAGUUCUUCCCAACUUCCCUCCCUCAACUUACUUCUCUACUCUGCUUAUGUGCAGGUUGUGGGUAGUUAUAUUAAUGCAAAUAAGAAGGAUGUUAGCCCCAGAUCAUCCUGAUGUCAUUAACAUGCAUGACAGAAAAUGGAUUACAAAUGAUCUACCCUGCAGAAUAAGGCUUUAUAUUUUUCUUUAUUUAUUUUUGUUAACUGGGCAACAGGGCAUUAAAGCCUUGUGAUGUAUUAACUUUUUGGCCUGGAACUGAUUUAAGGCUGCACAAGGAAGAGUUUUUGAUGCACCAUUUGUGGUAUGAGCAUAUUUUGACAUCAGCAAUUUUUAAGAUAUCUAUAAUACCACUGUGACUUCAAUGUUUUAUUUGUCCAUGCUAACGAAUAUAGUACUCUAAAUACAUUAAAUUCUGUGUAUUUUAAAUAUGGAUAUAAAUAUAUUGCUUUAAACAAUACAUUGUUUAGAGUUAUGUGUUAACACUGACACUGAAUUCACUAACAAUUCUUAGAAAUAAACAGUAAAACUCCUGGGAAACUCCUGGCAAGAUUUAGCAUUUCUGUAUUAAUUGUCCUUUGGUUUUAGCCAUUAAGACCAUUAAAGAGAAAUCAAACGGCAAGGUAAUCUUGAGUUCUGAUGUACUGUACAAAAAAAUACUACUCCCAAACUCCACUGUAGUGUCUGGUGGAUGCGUGACAGCUCUGCUGCCUGCACCAACAUACAAG